rnacentral:rRNA from 1 species
GACGAACGCUGGCGGCGUGCUUAACACAUGCAAGUGGAGCGACGAACCGGGCUUCGGCCCGGGGCAGAGCCGCGAACGGGUGAGUAACACGUGGGUAACCCACCCCGAUGACCGGGACAACCCGAGGAAACUCGGGCUAAUACCGGAUGAGCUCCUCUCUCGUAAGGGAGAGGAGGAAAGAUAGCUUCGGCCUUCGCAUCGGGACGGGCCCGCGGCGCAUUAGCUUGUUGGUGAGGUAACGGCUUACCAAGGCGACGAUGCGUAGCUGGUCUGAGAGGACGAUCAGCCACACUGGGACUGAGACACGGCCCAGACUCCUACGGGAGGCAGCAGUGGGGAAUCUUGCGCAAUGCGCGAAAGCGUGACGCAGCAACGCCGCGUGGGGGAAGACGGCCUUCGGGUUGUAAACCCCUUUCAGUUGGGACGAAGCUUCGCCGGUGAAUAGCCGGCUGGAGUGACGGUACCUUCACAAGAAGCCCCGGCUAACUACGUGCCAGCAGCCGCGGUAACAC